UACGGAGGGUGCAAGCGUUAUCCGGAUUCACUGGGUUUAAAGGGUGCGUAGGUGGGCAGGUAAGUCAGUGGUGAAAUCCCCGAGCUUAACUUGGGAACUGCCGUUGAUACUAUCUGUCUUGAAUACCGUGGAGGUAAGCGGAAUAUGUCAUGUAGCGGUGAAAUGCUUAGAGAUGACAUAGAACACCAAUUGCGAAGGCAGCUUGCUACACGAUAAUUGACACUGAGGCACGAAAGCGUGGGGAGCAAACAGG
rnacentral:rRNA from 1 species